AACCUAGCACACCUGCGGUGUGUACCUGCGGAGGGAUCAUUACCUGGCCUUGGGCCGUCCGCGGUGGCGAGUCGCUCGCGACGAUGCUGCCGGGGGCGCUUAGCCCUUGACUAUGACCGUGUUUAUGUGUACCUUUUGUUGUUUCCUCGGCAGGUCUCCUGCCGCCAGGAACCCCAUCCAACCCUUUUUGCAGUAAGCAUCCAAACCUUCUGAAAACCAAAACAAUCUAUUUACAACUUU
rnacentral:misc_RNA from 1 species